GAUGAACGCUGGCGGCGUGCCUAAUACAUGCAAGUCGAGCGAACGGACGAGAAGCUUGCUUCUCUGAUGUUAGCGGCGGACGGGUGAGUAACACGUGGAUAACCUACCUAUAAGACUGGGAUAACUUCGGGAAACCGGAGCUAAUACCGGAUAAUAUUUUGAACCGCAUGGUUCAAAAGUGAAAGACGGUCUUGCUGUCACUUAUAGAUGGAUCCGCGCUGCAUUAGCUAGUUGGUAAGGUAACGGCUUACCAAGGCAACGAUGCAUAGCCGACCUGAGAGGGUGAUCGGCCACACUGGCACUGAGACACGGUCCAGCCUCCUACGGGAGGCAGCAGUAGGGAAUCUUCCGCAAUGGGCGAAAGCCUGACGGAGCAACGCCGCGUGAGUGAUGAAGGUCUUCGGAUCGUAAAACUCUGUUAUUAGGGAAGAAAAUAUGUGUAAGUAACUGUGCACAUCUUGACGGUACCUAAUCAGAAAGCCACGGCUAACUCCG
rnacentral:rRNA from 1 species